UACGUAGGGUGCAAGCGUUGUCCGGAAUUAUUGGGCGUAAAGAGCUCGUAGGCGGUCUGUCACGUCGGCUGUGAAAUCCCGAGGCUCAACCUCGGGUCUGCAGUCGAUACGGGCAAACUAGAGUAUUGCAGGGGAGACUGGAAUUCCUGGUGUAGCGGUGAAAUGCGCAGAUAUCAGGAGGAACACCGGUGGCGAAGGCGGGUCUCUGGGCAAUACCUGACACUGAGGCACGAAAGCUAGGGGAGCAAACAGG
rnacentral:rRNA from 1 species